ACUCCUACGGGAGGGCAGCAGUGGGGAAUAUUGCACAAUGGGGGAAACCCUGAUGCAGCCAUGCCGCGUGUGUGAAGAAGGCCUUCGGUUGUAAAGCACUUUCAGUAGGGAGGAAGGUAGUGUAGUUAACACCUGCAUUAUUUGACGUUACCUACAGAAGAAGCACCGGCUAACUCCGUGCCAGCAGCCGCGGUAAUACGGAGGGGUGCGAGCGUUAAUCGGAAUUACUGGGCGUAAAGCGCAUGCAGGCGGCCUGUUAAGUCAGAUGUGAAAGCCCGGGGGCUUAACCUCGGAAUUGCAUUUGAAACUGGCAGGCUAGAGUCUUGUAGAGGGGGUAGAAUUUCAGGUGUAGCGGUGAAAUGCGUAGAGAUCUGAAGGAAUACCAGUGGCGAAGGCGGCCCCCUGGACAAAGACUGACGCUCAGAUGCGAAAGCGUGGGGAGCAAACAGGAUUAGAUACCCUGGUAGCACAGAG
rnacentral:rRNA from 1 species